UACGUAGGGGGCUAGCGUUGUCCGGAAUCAUUGGGCGUAAAGCGCGUGUAGGCGGUCCGGUAAGUCGGUUGUGAAAGUCCAGGGCUCAACCCUGGGAUGCCGAUCGAUACUGCCGGACUAGAGUCCGGAAGAGGCGAGUGGAAUUCCCCGGUGUAGCGGUGAAAUGCGCAGAUAUCGGGAGGAACACCAAUGGCGAAGGCAGCUCGCUGGGACGGUACUGACGCUGAGACGCGAAAGCGUGGGGAGCAAACAGG
rnacentral:rRNA from 1 species